rnacentral:rRNA from 1 species
CCUACGGGUGGCAGCAGUGAGGAAUAUUGGUCAAUGGCCGCAGGGCUGAACCAGCCAAGUCGCGUGAGGGAUGACGGUCCUAUGGAUUGUAAACCUCUUUUGUCAGGGAGCAAAGCGUGUCACGUGUGACGCAUUGCGAGUACCUGAAGAAAAAGCAUCGGCUAACUCCGUGCCAGCAGCCGCGGUAAUACGGAGGAUGCGAGCGUUAUCCGGAUUUAUUGGGUUUAAAGGGUGCGCAGGCGGAAUGUCAAGUCAGCGGUAAAAUUUCGGGGCUCAACCCCGUCGUGCCGUUGAAACUGGAGUUCUUGAGUGCGCGAGAAGUAUGCGGAAUGCGUGGUGUAGCGGUGAAAUGCAUAGAUAUCACGCAGAACUCCGAUUGCGAAGGCAGCAUACCGGCGCGCAACUGACGCUGAGGCACGAAAGCGUGGGUAUCGAACAGGAUUAGAUACCCGUGUAGUC